UACGGGAGGCAGCAGUAGGGAAUCUUCGGCAAUGGGGGCAACCCUGACCGAGCAACGCCGCGUGAGUGAAGAAGGUUUUCGGAUCGUAAAGCUCUGUUGUAAGAGAAGAACGUGUGUGAGAGUGGAAAGUUCACACAGUGACGGUAACUUACCAGAAAGGGACGGCUAACUACGUGCCAGCAGCCGCGGUAAU
rnacentral:rRNA from 2 species